AUUGAACGCUGGCGGCAGGCCUAACACAUGCAAGUCGAGCGGAUGAAGGGAGCUUGCUCCUGGAUUCAGCGGCGGACGGGUGAGUAAUGCCUAGGAAUCUGCCUGGUAGUGGGGGAUAACGUCCGGAAACGGGCGCUAAUACCGCAUACGUCCUGAGGGUGAAAGUGGGGGAUCUUCGGACCUCACGCUAUCUUAUGAGCCUAGGUCGGAUUAGCUAGUUGGUGGGGUAAAGGCCUACCAAGGCGACGAUCCGUAACUGGUGUGAGAGGAUGAUCAGUCACACGGGAACUGAGACACGGACAAGAGUACUACGGGAGGCAGCAGUGGGGAAUAUUGGACAAUGGGCGAAAGCCUGAUCCAGCCAUGCCGCGUGUGUGAAGAAGGUCUUCGGAUUGUAAAGCACUUUAAGUUGGGAGGAAGGGAAGUAAGUUAAUACCUUGCUGUUUUGACGUUACCAACAGAAUAAGCACCGGCUAACUUCGUG
rnacentral:rRNA from 1 species